UACGAAGGGGGCUAGCGUUGCUCGGAAUCACUGGGCGUAGAGGGUGCGUAGGCGGGUCUUUAAGUCAGGGGGGAAAUCCUGGAGCUCAACUCCAGAACUGCCUUUGAUACUGAAGAUCUUGAGUUCGGGAGAGGUGAGUGGAACUGCGAGUGUAGAGGUGAAAUUCGUAGAUAUUCGCAAGAACACCAGUGGCGAAGGCGGCUCACUGGCCCGAUACUGACGCUGAGGCACGAAAGCGUGGGGAGCAAACAGG
rnacentral:rRNA from 1 species